rnacentral:misc_RNA from 1 species
UUCAUUCACUGUAUUUAGAAUAAGCAGAAGUGAGAAUGACUGGUGGCGGCUUAAAGGGUAUUUUGGCUGCCGCUGUUACCCAAGGGGUGGCUGAGGCAAGGGCAAGGAUAUUUGGGCAUGUGCUUAACCCUGCAGGGCACAGAUCCCCCCACAAAAUUUUGCGCAAGAAGCUCAUUGGUGAGAAGGUCGCGCAAUGGUACCCUCAUGAUAUCAAGAGGGAUGACCCACUUAUUAUGGCCCGCCAAGAGCAAGAGCGUUUAUCCAAGCUUGAAAUGUUGAAGAGACGUGGAAAAGGGCCACCCAAGAAGGGCCAAGGAAAGGGAGCCAUGAAGCGAAACAAAGGGAAAUGAUGUUUUCAUAUUCUCUUUUUCAUAUCAGUCCUUGGGUAGUUUUGGCAAUAAGUUAGUAGUAUCUGGCAUUUUCAGCAACAACUUUGGAACUGAUACGGCCGUAUGAUGUUUCUUUUCCUUUUAGUAGUUUUAUUAAAUGAAUGAGCAUCUAUUGUCGACUAUGUACUCCUAAUCUCCUGCACUAUGAACCAGUCACUCAGGCAGGUACUCAACCUCUAACUAGACUUGACAGAGUAAAUUUUAACUCAUACUUGCCUG